GGGUGGAUGAGUGGCGAACGGGUGAGUAACACGUGAGUAACCUUCCCUUGACUCUGGGAUAAGCCCGGGAAACUGGGUCUAAUACCGGAUAUGACCUCCUGUCGCAUGGUGGGGGGUGGAAAGAUUUAUCGGUCUUGGAUGGACUCGCGGCCUAUCAGCUUGUUGGUGAGGUAAUGGCUCACCAAGGCGACGACGGGUAGCCGGCCUGAGAGGGUGACCGGCCACACUGGGACUGAGACACGGCCCAGACUCCUACGGGAGGCAGCAGUGGGGAAUAUUGCACAAUGGGCGCAAGCCUGAUGCAGCGACGCCGCGUGAGGGAUGACGGCCUUCGGGUUGUAAACCUCUUUCAGUAGGGAAGAAGCCUUCGGGUGACGGUACCUGCAGAAGAAGCGCCGGCUAACUACGUGCCAGCAGCCGCGGUAAUACGUAGGGCGCGAGCGUUAUCCGGAAUUAUUGGGCGUAAAGAGCUCGUAGGCGGUUUGUCGCGUCUGCCGUGAAAGUCCGGGGCUUAACCCCGGAUCUGCGGUGGGUACGGGCAGACUAGAGUGCAGUAGGGGAGACCGGAAUUCCUGGUGUAGCGGUGAAAUGCGCAGAUAUCAGGAGGAACACCGAUGGCGAAGGCAGGUCUCUGGGCUGUUACUGACGCUGAGGAGCGAAAGCAUGGGGAGCGAACAGGAUUAGAUACCCUGGUAGUCCAUGCCGUAAACGUUGGGCACUAGGUGUGGGGGACAUUCCACGUUUUCCGCGCCGCAG
rnacentral:rRNA from 1 species